UUGUGUAUGUACCCAAUCUAACACAAAUUCAACACUAUUUGAAGUUUAAUUUACUUCUACUUUAACAGUAAAUAAACUAGGUAGCAAGAUGUAAAUUAACUUCAAAUACUAAACAGUACACUAUUUGAAGUUUAAUUUACUUCUGCUUUAACAGUAAAUACUGUUUACACAUUGUAGUUUAAUUUACUUCUGAUUCAAGAAGGU
rnacentral:lncRNA from 1 species